rnacentral:rRNA from 1 species
GGGGAUAACGGCUGGAAACGGCCGCUAAUACCCCAUAUGCCGGGAGGUGAAAUGAAUUUCGCCUGAGGAUGAGCCCGCGUCUGAUUAGCUAGUUGGUGGGGUAAAGGCCUACCAAGGCAACGAUCAGUAGCUGGUCUGAGAGGAUGAUCAGCCACACUGGGACUGAGACACGGCCCAGACUCCUACGGGAGGCAGCAGUGGGGAAUUUUCCGCAAUGGGCGAAAGCCUGACGGAGCAACGCCGCGUGAGGGAUGAAGGCCCCUGGGCUGUAAACCUCUUUUCUCAAGGAAGAAGACCUGACGGUACUUGAGGAAUAAGCCACGGCUAAUUCCGUGCCAGCAGCCGCGGUAAUACGGGAGUGGCAAGCGUUAUCCGGAAUUAUUGGGCGUAAAGCGUCCGCAGGCGGCCUUGUAAGUCUGUUGUUAAAGCGUGGAGCUCAACUCCAUUUAAGCAAUGGAAACUACAAGGCUGGAGUGUGGUAGGGGCAGAGGGAAUUCCCGGUGUAGCGGUGAAAUGCGUAGAUAUCGGGAAGAACACCAGUGGCGAAGGCGCUCUGCUGGGCCAUAACUGACGCUCAUGGACGAAAGCCAGGGGAGCGAAAGGGAUUAGAUACCCCUGUAGUCCUGGCCGUAAACGAUGAACACUAGGUGUCGGGGGAAUCGACCCCCUCGGUGUCGUAGCCAACGCGUUAAGUGUUCCGCCUGGGGAGUACGCACGCAGGUGUGAAACUCAAAGGAAUUGACGGGGGCCCGCACAAGCGGUGGAGUAUGUGGUUUAAUUCGAUGCAACGCGAAGAACCUUACCAGGGUUUGACAUCCUGCGAACCCCUGAGAAAUCGGGGGGUGCCUUCGGGAGCGCAGAGACAGGUGGUGCAUGGCUGUCGUCAGCUCGUGUCGUGAGAUGUUGGGUUAAGUCCCGCAACGAGCGCAACCCACGUCUUUAGUUGCCAGCAUUCAGUUGGGCACUCUAGAGAGACCGCCGGUGAUAAACCGGAGGAAGGUGUGGAUGACGUCAAGUCAUCAUGCCCCUUACAUCCUGGGCUACACGUACUACAAUGCUACGGACAAAGGGCAGCAAGCUCGCGAGAGUUAGCAAAUCCCAUAAACCGUGGCUCAGUUCAGAUCGUAGGCUGCAACUCGCCUACGUGAAGGAGGAAUCGCUAGUAAUCGCAGGUCAGCAUACUGCGGUGAAUACGUUCCCGGGCCUUGUACACACCGCCCGUCACACCAUGGAAGUUGGCCAUGCCCGAAGUCGUUACUCCAACCC